rfam:Pan troglodytes isolate Yerkes chimp pedigree #C0471 (Clint) chromosome 3, whole genome shotgun sequence.
GCUGGGCAUAGUGGCUCACGCCUGUAAUCCCAGCACUUUGGGAGGCCGAGGCGGGUGGAUCACCUGAGGUCAGGAGUUCUAGACCAGCCUGGCCAACAUGGUGAAAACCCGUCUCUA